rnacentral:rRNA from 1 species
CCCUUAGAUGUUCUGGGCCGCACGCGCGCUACACUGAUGCAUUCAACGAGUUUCUUCCUGGUCCGAGAGGAAUGGGUAACCUUUUGAAAGUGCAUCGUGAUAGGGAUAGACUAUUGCAAUUAUUGGUCUUCAACGAGGAAUUCCUAGUAGACGUAGUUCAUCAGACUGCAUCGAUUACGUCCCUGCCCUUUGUACACACCGCCCGUCGCUCCUACCGAUUGAACGGUUUAGUGAGGGCCUCGGAUUGGUCUCGGCCCGCUCUUUACCGGGCGGCGCCGUUGGUCGAGAAGACGCUCGAACUUGAUCGUUUAGAGGAAGUAAAAGUCGUAACA